CAUCGGCAUCUAUACAUGCAAGUCGAACGAACGGAGGAAGAGCUUGCUCUUCCAAAGUUAGUGGCGGACGGGUGAGUAACACGUGGGCAACCUGCCUGUAAGUUGGGGAUAACUCCGGGAAACCGGGGCUAAUACCGAAUGAUAGAGUGUGGCGCAUGCCACGCUCUUGAAAGAUGGUUUCGGCUAUCGCUUACAGAUGGGCCCGCGGUGCAUUAGCUAGUUGGUAGGGUAAUGGCCUACCAAGGCAACGAUGCAUAGCCGACCUGAGAGGGUGAUCGGCCACACUGGGACUGAGACACGGCCCAGACUCCUACGGGAGGCAGCAGUAGGGAAUCUUCCGCAAUGGACGAAAGUCUGACGGAGCAACGCCGCGUGUAUGAAGAAGGUUUUCGGAUCGUAAAGUACUGUUGUUAGAGAAGAACAAGGAUAAGAGUAACUGCUUGUCCCUUGACGGUAUCUAACCAGAAAGCCACGGCUAACUACGUGCCAGCACCCGCGGUAAUACGUAUGUGGCAAGCGUUGUCCGGAUUUAUUGGGCGUAAAGCGCGCGCAAGCGGUCUUUUAAGUCUGAUGUGAAACCCCCGGCUUAACC
rnacentral:rRNA from 1 species